rnacentral:rRNA from 1 species
ACGGGAGGCAGCAGUGGGGAAUAUUGGACAAUGGGGGAAACCCUGAUCCAGCGACGCCGCGUGAGUGAAGAAGUAUUUCGGUAUGUAAAGCUCUAUCAGCAGGGAAGAUAAUGACGGUACCUGACUAAGAAGCUCCGGCUAAAUACGUGCCAGCAGCCGCGGUAAUACGGAGGAUGCAGGCGUUAUCCGGAUUUAUUAGGUUUAAAGGGUGCGCAGGCGGGACAUUAAGUCGGUGGUGAAAUACCGUGGCCCAACCACGGGGCUGCCAUCGAUACUGAUGACCUUGAGUGCGUGUGACGUAGGCGGAAUGUGGAGUGUAGCGGUGAAAUGCUUAGAUAUUCCACAGAACACCGAUUGCGAAGGCAGCCUACGAAUGCGUAACUGACGCUCAUGCACGAAAGCGCUGGUAGCGAACAGGAUUAGAUACCCUGGUA